UUGGCUCCAAAAUAAUCAAAAAAGUGGCUGAGGUGGCCCUGGAUAAGGGCUGCUCCCAGUUCCGCCUGGCAGUCCUAGACUGGAACAAGGGGGCUAUGGACUUGUAUAAGGCCCUAGGAGCCCAAGAUCUGACGGAAGCUGAAGGUUGGCACUGCUUUCGCUUUGAAGGAGAGGCGAUGAGGGAGUUGGCAGGAAAGUGACGCCAUCCCUUGGGGAUCUCCAUUUCAGCUUCUUCAUCCCCACCAGCUCAAGCAGUCCUCAGAGACUGUCUCCACUGACCAAGGCCUCCCGGAAGGAAGGGAAGGAGGGUUGGAGGUGAAUAUUCCCAGAUGGAAAGAACAGAGAUGGGAGCAAGAAGAAUCCAGUUUCAUGCCCUUGGCUCAUCUAAUCUGGCAGGGAUGAAUAUCUUUUAAACAUGAACAAGUUAUCUUUUGAUGGCACUUUUUAAACUUAACUCAGAAUGAAUUAUUUCUGGAAGGACACACAAACAAGCAGAGAGUGGUUGCUUCCAGGGAGAGGAACUGGGUGUCCAGGUAACGGAAGGAAGGGGACUUUUCCCCAUGCCACUUUGGAUCUUCUGAAUUUUGUGCCUCGCCCAUGUAGUACUUCAGAAAAAUGAAUAAAUAAAACUUUAAAUACUAAUGCAGAAGAAAAGAUUAUGAACUAGGAAACAAUAUUUCCAAA